rfam:Gossypium raimondii Chr11_contig_1284, whole genome shotgun sequence.
UAUUAAAAAGUAUCCAUUUGUAUUCUUAAAAAUUGGCUUGGCUGACAAAAUAAUCAGACAGUGACAAGUGACGUGCCACAUGUAGCUUAUGCUGACGUAUAAGGACAAAUUUUUAACAGAGAAAAAGGAUGGAAUUUUUAAUA